rnacentral:misc_RNA from 1 species
GCUGAAGAACGUAGCGAAAUGCGAUAAGUAAUGUGAAUUGCAGAAUUCAGUGAAUCAUCGAAUCUUUGAACGCACAUUGCGCCCCCUGGUAUUCCGGGGGGCAUGCCUGUCCGAGCGUCAUUACAACCCUCAAGCUCAGCUUGGUGUUGGGCCCCGCCGCCCCGGCGGGCCCUAAAGUCAGUGGCGGUGCCGUCCGGCUCCGAGCGUAGUAAUUCUUCUCGCUCUGGAGGUCCGGUCGUGUGCUCGCCAGCAACCCCCAAUUUUUUUCAGGUUGACCUCGGAUCAGGUAGGGAUACCCGCUGAACUUAAGCAUAUCAAUAAGCGGAGGA